GAUUCGAUUAUGGCUCAGAUUGAACGCUGGCGGGAUGCUUUACACAUGCAAGUCGAACGGCAGCACGGACUUCGGUCUGGUGGCGAGUGGCGAACGGGUGAGUAAUGUAUCGGAACGUGCCUAGUAGCGGGGAUAACUACGCGAAAGCCAGCUAAAUACCGCAUACGCCCUUCGGGGGAAAGCGGGGGACCUUCGGGCCUCGCACUAUUAGAGCGGCCGAUAUCGGAUUAGCUAGUUGGUGGAGUAACGGCUCACCAAGGCGACGAUCCGUAGCUGGUUUGAGAGGACGACCAGCCACCUUUCGGACUGAGACACGGCCCAGACUCCUACCGAGGCAGCAGUGAAAUUUUGGACAAUGGAAACCCUGAUCCAGCCAUCCCGCAUUGCGAUGAAGGCCUUCGGGUUGUAAACACUUUGUAGGAAAGAAACGGCACAGGAUAAUACCGUGCAACUGACAUUUACCUGCAGAAUAAAAGCACCGGCUAACUACGUGCCAGCAGCCGCGGUAUGCAGCAGAAUUGCAAGCGUUAAUCGGAAUUACUGGGCGUAAAGCGUGCGCAGGCGGUUCGGAAAGAAGAUGUGAAAUCCAGAGCUUAACUUUGGAACUGCAUUUUUAACUACCGAGCUAGAGUGUGUCAGAGGGAGGUGGAAUUCCGCAAUGUGUAGUGAAAUGCGUAGAUAUGGAGGAACACCGAUGGCGAAGCAGCCUCCUGGGAUAACACUGACGCUCAUGCACGAAAAAGCGUGGGGGCGACAGGAUUAGAUACCCUGGUAGUCCACGCCCUAAACGAUGUCAGCUGGCUGUUGGGGCCUUCGGGCCUUGGUAGCGCAGCUAACGCGUGAAGUUGACCGCCUGGGAGUACGGUCGCAAGAUUAAAACUCAGACGGGGACCCGCACAAGCGGUGGAUGAUGUGGUUAAUUCGAUGCAACGCGAAAAACCUUACCUACCCUUGACAUGUCUGGAAUCCCGAAGAGAUUUGGGAGUGCUCGCAAGAGAACCGGAACACAGGUGCUGCAUGGCUGUCGUCAGCUCGUGUCGUGAGAUGUUGGGUUAAUCCCGCAACUUGAGCGCAACCCACUUGUCAUUAGUUGCUACGAAAGGGCACUCUAAUGGACUACCCGGUGACAAACCGGAGAGGUGGAAUGACUUUCAGAUCCUCAUAAACCCUUAUGGGUAGGGCUUCACACGUCAUACAAUGGUCGGGACAGAGGGUCGCCAACCCGCGAGGGGGAGCCAAUCCCAGAAACCCGAUCGUAGUCCGGAUCGCAGUCUGCAACUUGACUGCGUGAAGUCAGAAUCGCUAGUAAUCGCGGAUCAGCAUGUCGCGGUGAAUACGUUCCCGGGUCUUGUACACACCGCCCGUCACACCAUGGGAGUGGGUUUUACCAGAAGUAGUUAGCCUAACCGUAAGGAGGGCGAUUACCACGGUAAGUUCAUGACUGGGGUAAAGUCGUAACAAGGUAG
rnacentral:rRNA from 1 species